ensembl:lncRNA PSMG3-AS1 PSMG3 antisense RNA 1 (head to head)
ACCUUCCGGAAGUCAGGGCCGCGGCGCUUCUGGUCCCGGAGACUUGGGGCUCCCGGGCUUCUGAGCGGCUCGGGUUCCGCGCUGCCGGCAGGGCUUGGGGGCGCCUUAGAGCCGAACCCCGUUUUUUCAGGAAAGGGCGCUGCGACCACCCCCGUCCCGGGCCUCAGCCCCUCUGCUGCAGACCCUCGGGAUCGUCGCUGGAAAGAUUCUGAAGCUUGGCGGAGAGGGGUGUGUGAGUGGACACCAGUGAAGUAACGGUUUUUGUGUUACGAUGAUUUCUGUUUUCCUCUGCUGCCCUGUAAUGGCAGGAACUCGGAUAGUCUGGUCUUCAGACCAGGAGGACUCCCAGGAGAGAACGGAGAGCCAGUGUGCUGUGUGUCACGGUCCCUGGAUGAACGUUUGUGGAACUGGAUUGAAUUAAACAAGACGUGCAAAGCAAGUGGUUCACGAGGGUCUUGCUCCGUCGCCCAGUCUGGAGUGCAGUGGCAAGAUCUCUGCUCAGUGCAGCCUUGAACUCUCAGGCUCAAGAAAUCUUCCCGCCUCAGCCUCCCAAAGUGCUGGGAUUACAGGUGUGAGCCACUGUGCCCGGCUAUAGCUAACAUUUUAUUUUUACAACCAAAAAAGAAAUAAAAAGGGAAAAUAAGGAAAAAUA